GAAGUUUGAGUGCUAUUUAUUAUUAUAGCUUAAUUCCUUCUUCAUGUAUACUGAGGAUUAUGCUUAAACUGGAUUUCUAGGAAAAAAAAAUUAUCACCAAAGACCCACUCUUAAGCACCAGCAAGUUAUCCCAUUUCUUUAAUGCAUAAAGUGAUGUUUACUGUGACUUACAGGUUUUUCAUUUGUACUGUUUCCCCAAAUGUUUCUUUUUCUUUAUGUAAAGUUCACGUUUGUCACCUCCAUACCAGGAGGAAAUUUAGUGAGUUACCUACCGUGGACACUGUUUUACAGACUUUAAAAUAAAGAUCCACAUGUACUUUAGCUUAUAGGACAGAUCCCAUAAAUGCAACCUUGACGCAUGGAAGAAAUCUAACCGUCGAAAAAUAAACCCACACCAGGAUCUUCUCGGUUAUCCCGGACCCAGGAAAGAGGGAGCAGGGUCUGGGCAGGCUUCACCCCUGAAGGACAGCUGGACAUCUCGGCCCCACCUGGGAGGAUGCUUUGGACUACUUCUCAGGUUGCCGCCUGACGAUUGGUGGCUGGCCUGGAAGGGAGGGUCCGCAGGAAACGCGACACUGGGGAUGCUGCUCCUAUCACGUGAUGGAAAUUGCCACUCUUUUUUAGAAAGGCGAAAAGAAAAGAAAGAAGGGUCUCUCCAUCCAUCCCUUUCUGACACUUCCCCUGAAUCCCGGUCUGGAAAGGGUAGUAAAAGAGGCGGAGCUGACGCAAGUUGGACAGAAGGAGGUGUUGGGGUGAGGUGGUGGUGUUGAUUGGCUUGUCUCGUUCACUCCCACUG
ensembl:lncRNA